UUUAGCCUGUUCUGUCCAUUGCUAGAGCAUAUGCCAGCUUAAUAAAUAUAUUAGAUUUUUAAAUAUCUGAAUAAACAAUUUUCUGAUAUUCAGAUAUUUUCAACAUAGGGCAUCCUGAUGAGUCGACAACGUAAAUCAUAGAAUUUCAAGAAGCGAGCCCUCAGUCCACACGCGCAUAAGGAAAUUGGAUAAGGAUGGCCCAGGACAUAAACGAGGCCUAUACCCAUGUGAGUCGACAAGGGCUGUAGAUGAUAUACGUGUACACCAGGAUCACCCUGUUAGGUUGACCAUGGUAAAUACAACAAACAGUCAAAGACCAAAUGAGAGAAAAGGAGAAAAGAAAUGUUUGUGGAAGUCAAUUUUAUUAUUAAAAUAUUAAGAUACUAAGAA